GCCCAAGGAAAUACUCCUAUUUUUAAGGGAUUUUUGUAGCCUCAAUUUCUUAUUCAUAGGAAUCAUGGAACACUGCUUUCUCAAACAUCUCUCCACGCAAAAAGUCAAAGUUUUAAUACAUAGUAGCAAGUGAAUUUUCACUGAGAACAUAAACCAUUUUGCUUCAGUCAAUAUGAAUCAUCACCUGUAUCACUGCAUUAUGACUCAUUCCUGAGGGCUAUUUUCUCUCUUAAUUUCAUGUAGGCAGCUGUUUGCCACAUCUGCUAAAUGUCACUGAGCAGAGUUGACACUUCAUUGAUGUGAUGUGCUUUUUCAUAAUAAAAGCGGCUGAAACAAUAGGUGAAGACCGAAGUGGAAACGUUAAUGGAAAGAUGCUUGGAAUGGAAAAAAAUAGUCUUGUACAGUUCAAGCUAUGUGCAAGCUUAUCCAGUGAAGGAUAAUACCCUAUGAAUCCGAAGAAAGGAAUUCUCAUCCACAAAGCUCAUUCCAGGAUAAUCCUUACAUCUUUGGGGUGACAAAAAUUUUUGUGACAAUAUUGUAACAGGUGUCACACUCAGUCAAAGCAUCUAUGGAGAUUGCAAUCUUGCGUCUUUAUUCACCAUCUUUAUCACUGAUAUUUUCAGGAUUCAAAACUCCUGUUCUCUCUAUGUAUAGGGCAGAUUGCACCAAAACGUUUAUUUCAGCAUGACCCUGAACCAGAAUGAAAGCAUUCACAUUAUUAGCAACCUUCACAUUGUAUUAGUCAAGAAAGGCCUUGCAAAAAAGAUUUUUCAUGUGCUAUAAAAUGACUCAUAGGGUAAUAUAGACAAGCAGUUUCCAAGUGUGUUCUUGCUGCUGGGAAAAAUAACCACAACUUAUUAAAAUUAUUGGAUUCUUA